UUCUAGGGACCGAGGCGACCGAUUUGGUAUUUUUUCUAGUGAUUUUAUGUGGUGCUCAUAUCCGGUGUCCCAUACUGACGACGCAUACUCAAGCUUCGGACGAAUGAAAGUUGUGUACAGAAGUAGUUUUAGUGAUGAUGGUGCUUGCGAAAACUUCCGGCGAAAGUAUCC
rnacentral:lncRNA from 1 species